UACGUAGGGUGCAAACGUUGUUCGGAAUUACUGGGCGUAAAGGGCGCGUAGGCGGUUCGCUAAGUCGGAUGUGAAAACUCUGGGCUCAACCCAGAGCCUGCAUCCGAAACUGGCGGGCUAGAGUUCUGGAGGGGGUAGCGGAAGUUCCUGGUGUAGCGGUGAAAUGCGUAGAUAUCAGGAGGAACACCGGUGGCGAAGGCGGCUACCUGGACAGAAACUGACGCUGGAGGCGCGAAAGCUAGGGGAGCAAACAGG
rnacentral:rRNA from 1 species